AAUAUUUGCUUUUUUUGCAACAGAGGGAAAGUUUGCUUUCCCAGUAUAUGGGUUAACCUUCCAAAUGCAGGAAUAUGCUGAAAUUUGAGAACAGAAAUACAGCAAAAUAGCCAAAAGCAGGUGCUCUGAAUAUACUGAGUUAUGUUUUAUGAUUAUUGAUAAAUCUAUGAUUUGUAGGUCUCAUUGUACUUACACUGCACAAACCACUAUCCAUUACCAUAUAUGUCGUUAGAGAAGACUAGAAAAACAAUUUCUUUUCUUCUGAAUGACAACAAAAGACCACAGUUCUAUGUGUAGUCUUCACACCUGGAGUUUCUCUUCUUGAGCACUGGGAUGUAGGUCAAACUACACAGCAGGAGUUUGUGUUGUCUUGGCAUGAAGCAGAAGAUGGAAUGUCAACAGCAGGUCCAUAAUACCAUUCCUCCUGGAUGGUAUUCUGCCCUGAAAGUGCACAAAAGAGGAAAAUCCUCCCUGUUCAUGGAAGUGAUCUCCCUGGAUGUGGGUGAAAUGUCCACUACUGCUAAUUUAAUUGCAAGUGGAAUCCUCUACUGCCUGAAAGUAAUUCACAUUUUUCAAUAGCAGGUACAGAAAAAACAGAUUUUAUUGGAACUGUGUUUCUUGAAAAUGAGAGAGUAGCCUCAAGAGAGGCUACUAUGAAAUCCCUAUAGCUGGCUUGUGUGUCAAUGACAGAUGACUGAUGCAGAGGGACACAUUCUGAUAUCAUUUACUCUCCAGUGAAGAUUCUGGAUUUACAUCUGGCUACUUUGGCAAAAGUAAGGUCAGAAUCUAUAUCUGAAUUGUCUUGGCAAACACUAUGUUAGCCUUUUCAAAGACACUUUUGAAGUUAUACUGUUAUGCCUAUUUAGUAAAUAAAGUUAAAG
rnacentral:lncRNA from 1 species